GGCUGAUACGGCCAGCGCUGUGCUGGUCCAAAGCCAGGAGCCGGGUGCUUCCUCCUGGUCUCCCACAUGGGUGCAGGGCUCAAGGACUUGGGCCAUCCUCCACUGCCCUCCCAGGCCACAGCAGAGAGCUGGACUGGAAGAGGAGCAACUGGGACUAGUUCCCGGUGCCCCAACCAGGACUAGAACCCCGGGUGCCAGAGCCGCAGGUGGAGGAUUAGCCAAGUGAGCCAUGGCACCGGCCUCAUUUUUAGCACUAUUAAAGGUGGAAUUGAUAAAACCACAAGCCAAAUCUUGAAUGACUGUUGCUAUUUUAGCAAGUUAUUUAGUAGUUAUAGCUUUAAACAACAAACACUGUGGCAUCAUUGUCAAGUGAGUCGCAGGAGUACCAAAUAUCAAAUCACGUCUUCAAGUUACUCCCCAACUUUCCUUGGCUUUAUCACAGUGUAACUUCGGUAAGGCACUUGUCCUCUGUGCGACUGCUAGAGAAGAAUCUCUUGGGAUGAGACCUACGAUUGUUCACCUUUACAGUUGGAGAGGUACAGAGGGCGAACAACCUUCAUAAGGAAGCUGAACUACGUCAAUGGUUUUCAGGCCUGUCUGCACAUUAGCAUCACCUGGAGCGCUUUUAAGUGACUAACAUGUUUGGGCCACACUCCAGAACAGAUUCAUUUGUUUGAAAGGCAGUGUUACAGAGAGAAAGGGAGAAAGAGAGGAAGAGAACGUCCAUCUGCUGGUUCACUCCCCAAAUGGUUGCAAAGGUUGGAGUUGGGCAGACCCGAAGUCAGGAGUCUGGACCUUCUUCUCACGUGGGUGCAGGGGCCUAAGCACUGGGACCAUCCUCCAUUGCUUUUCCAGGCACAUUAGCAGAGAGCUGGAUGGGAAGUGGAGCAGCCAAGACUUGAACCAGCACCCAUCUGGGAUGCUAGCCUUGCAGACUGUGGCUUAACUUGCUACACCACAGCACCUGCCCCUCACAAUCAGCAUUCUGUGAGUUCUAAACUCUACUUAUUUUGUUAUCUCUCAUCCCCAGGAUAAAUGCAUAUAUAUUUUUUGCAUAGUGUGCUUCAGUAAAACUUUAACCAUUGGCAUAACCUACCGACACAUUAGACCUGUCAAAUAAAAGCAUGAAUAUUCCUUAGCAAGAAUAUAUUUUGAAAAUAUACUGUAAUCAUAGCUGAAGUUAUUUAGUGACUAAUAGAACCUCUAUAAGACAGAAUGCUGGGCAACCAUAGGAUGAUCAAGCUCAUAUGCUUCUUUUUGUUGGGUUUUUCUUUUUUCAAGACUUAUUUGAAAGGCAGAGUGAUGGUGAGAGAGCAAGAGACAGAGGGAUCUUCCAUUAGCUGAUUCACUCCCCAAAUGGCCACAACAACCAGAUAUAGGCCAGUCUGAAGUCAGGAGCCCAGAACUCCUCAGGGUCUCCCAGAUGAGUAGCAGUGGCCCAAAUGCAUGGACCACCAUUCUCUGCCUUUCUAUGCACAUUAGCAGGAAGCUGGAUGGGAAGAGGAGCAGCCAGGAUUCAAACCAGUGCUCUGAUAAGGGAUGCUAACAUUGCAGGCAGAAGCUUAACCUAAUGGGUGGCAAUGCUGGCCCCCAAAUUCAUAAGCUUCCAAACUGAAAUCUGUCCACGGGUACUUACGUGUCUUGGCUACCCGCUGUGCCAACUCACCCCUGCUAGGGCUCAGCUUGUGACUGAUCGGGUGGAAGGAGAGAUGAGGUGGGCAACUAGAUGUUCCUUUUCCUAUCUCCCAGGAGUCAGGCUUUGAAAUGUACUCAGCCAGUUAACAAGUCCACGUCAGGUUUGGCAUUCUGAGAUUCAUAGUCCUAGAGUUGCUAGAACAAGUAUGACAACUUGUGACUGUGCACAGUAGCGUGACAGCAGAUAACCAGUGACAACAAAUGCCACUGGCAGUAAGUGUCAUCGUGAAAGUACCAGUUGCAUGUGUCCAAAGCCAGCUGUUCCUGCGGCAUAGUCCUCGCAGUGCCUUUUGCCUCCUGCCUGACCCUACAGCCUUCCUCACAGUUCUGAGCCUCCUGAUCUACUUCUGAUGAAAUUACUUCCUGUUCAAGUUAACGAGUCAAUUUUUAUUGAUUGUAAUUGAGAACCCUGAACAGUACACAAUUGAAUUUGAAGUAUGCAAAAUAAAAUCAUCUAGCAACAUUGUACAAAUUGGACGCCUGAGUGCAUUAAUUUUCCCAUCAGGCAGUCAUUUGAAAAUCAAGUCAGACAAGUAGGAUUCUAGAAUGAUCAUCAUUUUCAAUCUGUUAAAGUUAUGAUAGUUUAGGAAUAUAUUUUUUGAUAUCACUCAUUUGAAUCACUGAAAUUGUGGGAGUGAAAAGUAUUAUUUCAUACCCUGGAAAUACCCAUAGCAUCCCCUGUUAGGAAGAAGCCUAUCACCUCCUAAAUUUGACUUUCAGUAUCAGAAGAGUAUUUUUCAGUUAGGUCAAGAUUAUUACUUCUGCCUCAACUGACGAAGAAUGUACACUUUUGAUGCUCUGAGCUUUGUUUCUGAAGAACAGAGAGGCCACGUCAUUCCGACUGCUUGGCUGACUACUCCCAACCUGGUAGUGAAAUAGCAAAGCAGCAGUGCGCGUGGUGUUCGCGAUGGUAGCAGUCAGUUGUGUCGUCCUAUCCAGUGACCUACGUGCCACAGCCGAGAGGGUGCUGGGCCCCAGGGCAGCUCCUGGAGGGGCGGAGAAGACGUUUGAGGUCUAACAUCCUUCUCCUGCCUUUCCCAUGAUUCUGCCUUAAGAUUUCCUAAUUUAUUGGGUUUUUUUUUUUUUCCCUUCUGCUAUGUAUUUUUUCUGUAUUUGCUUGUGUCCCCGGGGAUGGCAACGAUACUAACCAAAGAGAGUGAGGAGCACUCAUGCGAUGGCGCUGUAUCACUUUUUGCCUCUCACAUAGUAUUUGACUUUAUCUGCCUCAUUUCCUGACUUCCUGGUUGGAGGUUCAGCUUCUCAAGGGAGUUCCUCUAACUGGCUGGAUUGGUAGUGAAAAAGAAGAGGAAGAACUUUCCAUGCCGCAGAACCCAGAGAAAAAUAAUUAGCUUACGGAACCUCAAGAAAAAGUUGGAAAGAUAAACCAUGAGUUCAACCUGCUUGUGUGGUAGUAACCUUGACAAUGAAAGAAUACAGACCUGAACUUCUAACAGUUUUGAUGUGGAUAAAUCUUCUAACAGCAUGGCAAAGACGGUAGGAGCAGAGUAAGUUACCCAGUGUGUCUGACCCCCUAGCACUGUCUGGCAACUGCCGCUCCCAUCCACAGGAAUGCAGGAGCAGAUUCCUGGCUGUCCUGGUUUUUUCCAUGCGAUCCUUCAACAUACGCAAGGAGUCUUCAAAAAAUUCAUGGAAAAAGCAUAGUGGGGAAACACUCCACAUGGAUCUCAAAAGUUUUGCAGCAAAAUAAACUUAUCCUUUAAAUUCUAUUUUCCAUGCAGUUUUUGAAGUCCCCUCCAACAUCUCUGGGCAUACCAGCUGGACCACAAGCAGCCUCAUCUUGCUGAUUGGCUAACCAGAUUCUUAUUCCUGUGAAUUUAGAAUCUGAUCUGAAGAAAGACUGCAGCAACCUGUCUCUCCUCCAUGGAUCUGCAUCCUAACUAGGGACUCUGCCUUGUCACAGCCUGUCUGGCUUGGAGUCCAGGUGGCAAUAGAAGUUAGUCUUUGGGGAGAAAGACGCAUAUGUGUAAAGAAGAGCAAGGGUGAUUGUUCCAGAUCCUUCCAGGGAUCUGUCUGUGUACCGACCCUUCAGUUUAUAAAGAGCACUACACAUAAAGGUCUGUGUCCUGGCCUUUUGACCUAUCCCUGAAUUGCUUUGUAGCGUUCUUAGAACAAUUUGAUGUGCUCCUUCAUGAUGUAGCAACAGUGUCUUAACUGGGAAGGAAAGAGGGAUAUCACAGAAUCACUGGAAGAGUUUUUCAGUCAGUAUCAUUUGCCCUAAACAGAAGGGCAAUCACAAAAGUUAACACGAUAAGUAGCCAGCAUGGUGGUGCAGUGGUACAGUGGGUUAAGCCUGUGAAGCCAGCAUCCCAUAUGGGCACUGGUUCAAGUCUCUGUUGCCCCGCUUCCAAUCCAGAUAUCUUUAGCCAAAGGACUAGGAAAGGGACAACCUAGGAAGAAAGAAAACUCUUCAAUCGCUUCUCGGCCUUUUGGCUAAGAUCAAGUGUAGUGAAAACUCUUGGAGGGACCUGUGUGGUAUUGCAGUGGGAUGGCUGCAGCCCCUAUCAGGGUGCCUGUGCAUGUCCCUGCUGCUCUGCGUCCCAUGCACCUUCCUGCUGGUGUGCCUGGGAAGGCAGUGGAAGAUGGCCCAGCUGCUCCAACCCUGGCCGUUCGUGUGGGAGACCCAGAUGGAACUCCUGGCUCCUGGCUUCAGCCUGGCCUAGACCUGGCUUUUGUAGCCAUUUGGGAAGUGAGCCCUAGGA